UACAAGAGUGGGCCACUUUAUCUGGCUUUCUAAAUGUGGGCUUUGAGGGCCCAACUCAAAUUUCCAUGCUUGUGAGGCAAGCGUUUUACAAUCAAGCCACCUUCCCAGCCCCAAGUGUUUUCUUGGUUUGUCCUUUUGAUUUACCAACCAAUAAAAUCUGUGUGUCACUCUCUCUCUCACCACAACUUAUACCAUGCCAACAACUGUUGCGAGAGUCACUGAGAAUCGACCAGUCAUAGGAACGCCAAGGACAUAGAUUCUCUGUUGCAGCUGGAUAGACUUGUGGGCAGGUGCAGCUCUGAAAGCCUGAACUGGCUGCUGUUCAGCUGAGUCCUUGCCACCCUGAGAGCAAGAGAUCAGGCCGGGACAAGCUUCAGAGGCCUGGUAUAAAGCCAUUGAAAAAGACAGCAGCAACUCUCAGCUAGGAAACAACCAAAGCAGAAAAACACACUAAAACGAGCACUCUGUGAAGAAAAAGAAAAGGUUUGUUUCGCUCAGUCUUGGAGGCUGAAAGUUCAAGACUUAGUUUAUCCUCUUGUAGACCUUUAUGGCAACCUGGUGACAGAGCCGUGCAUGGAGAGACUGGAAGACAGAGAAGGACUCAGAAAUGCACAACUUCUCUCUCAUCACAACUGAAUCCUGCACCGACAAAUUCAGGGUCUCAUAGGAAUGCUUUAGCCUUCUCACAAAGGCUCAACCCCCAUGACUUACCCCCACUAGCACUACCUUUUAAAGGCUCUGUUGCCUUUUAGGACCACCACAGGUAUGCACAUAUACCCAGACCAUAAUGAAGCAGUAGCAGCUGCUAUCUGAAGCAGGCUUCUCCCUGUAUCCCUGAAGUUCCUUCUAUUACCUGAGCUCCAGAGCUGCAUUUUCUCCCCAUCACUCCAUCACUGUGUGUAUAGAUCCAAUAUUCUAUUUUGCCUUAACCUUGCUUUCCUAGACUGUUUCAGCUCCAUGCAUGCAGAUAUUCCAGGAUGCCCCAUCUUGAAAUAUUCUUCCUUAAGCCCCCAGCCUGUUGAUGAUUCCUAAGAGCAGUCUAUGCCCACUUCUAACUAAAAGCUCCGGGUUCCAUUCCCAGCAUUCCACUGUGGACUCAUGGAAAGUCACGUGGGAUCACUUCUGCGUCCAUGGCUGCUAGCUCUAAUGGCGUCGCCAGGUCACUCUGCAUUCUUUUUUUAUUUAAGCUACCCAUCUUAGGGAUCAUUUGUCGUAGCAAUUGUGGAUAUCAAUAUAUUUUUCAAAUACCAUAAAAGGAAAGAGGCUACCUAAACUUUAUUACUCACUGAA
rnacentral:sRNA from 1 species